ensembl:lncRNA
CACUUUAGAGCUGAAGACGUCAAUUAUUUGUUUCUGCUUUCAAAGAGAAACGAAAUGAUCCUUCUAGAGCGUAAAGCUGCUUUACAGCUCCGUUUGGUCUCAGACUCGUCCUGUUCUUCCACUGUGAUCAAACAUCUUCUGUGAAGCCCUGGAGGCUCUCCUGCGCCCUCUAGAGGGCUCCCGGUCUCCGUGAGGGCCUCCCCCCCCCCCCCCUCCCCCUGAUGGGGGGCUCCGGUGCCGCUGUGAGGCUGCAUGAGUCCAGGAGCUCUCAGGACUCCGAGGAGCUGGACGGACCCCCCGCCUCUAAACCCACAAGGUCUCGUCUGGGCAGAGAUGUGCACGGGUUGUAUCCAGGACAGCUGGCCAGGGUCCACACCGCCCCCCCACAGGAUUGUGGGACACUGUGCAGCAGAAGGUCUGGACUCCUCAGCGAGUCUCCUCCGGGGGAAAACUACCAGCGGAGCUUUGACCUUUGCACCCUGAGAGCGGUGACCCCCCUCCGCCUCCGUCCAGCCGCGCCGGAGCAGCGCCCCCCACAGAGCACCUACCGAGAGCAGUUUCAGUCUCCUCUGUUUCCGCAGUAGAAAACAACGUCCAACAAUGAAAAAGUCAUGAGUUUAAAACGCAAAAUGCAGAAAGGACAACUUGCAAAUAAUUGAUUGUAUGAAUGUGUGAAACUAAAAGACUGGGCGGGGCAUUGGUUGUGGAAUGUAAGGUAAUCUGAGUGCCCCCCCCCCCGGCGUGCUUCACGGCCCCUGAGAAACGCGAGUUGUUCCUGCAGAGAAACAAUGCUGUUGUUGUAACAUCGGUAACGUUUGCUCCGUCCGUGAAUGCAAACCGGCCCGACAGCAUAACCCCAAGUUUGUUUUCCUCCACCUUCAUAAUGUCAUAGAUAUUUGUGUUUGUACGCUGUGUGAACCAAAUAAACAAACAACUAAAAGGAACAAACCCUUUCGCAAACAAAAUAAAAAUGAAAGUCUGAGUUUAAAAGCUUGUAUUGAUCUGAAUGAAUGAGAUGAUUUAAAGCUUCUCUGUUUUAAAACACUUGAGCAGAUUAUCAGUGGCACAAAACCACAAUGACUCUUUGGAUUCAGACACAAUAAACUACUGUAGAUCAGCGAGAACUUGUUACGCUGAUGACGUGACUGUUUAUUUAGCAUGGCUUGUACUGUGAUGGGGGGAGUAUUCAGAUAUU